GAUGAACGUUAGCGGCAGGCCUAAUACAUGCAAGUCGAACGGGAUCUGAGGGUAGCUUGCUACCCGAUUUGAGAGUGGCGCACGGGUGCGUAACGCGUGAGCAACCUACCCAUAUCAGGGGGAUAGCCCGGAGAAAUUCGGAUUAACACCGCAUAAGAAUGUAUUAACACAUGUUAAAGCAUUUAAAUAUUUAUAGGAUAUGGAUGGGCUCGCGUGACAUUAGCUAGUUGGUGAGGUAACGGCUCACCAAGGCGACGAUGUCUAGGGGCUCUGAGAGGAGAAUCCCCCACACUGGUACUGAGGCACGGACCAGACGCCUACGGGAGGAAGCAGUAAGGAAUAUUGGUCAAUGGGCGGAAGCCGGAACCAGCCAUGCCGCGUGCAGGACGACUGCCCUAUGGGUUGUAAACUGCUUUUGUCGAGGAAUAAACCUAUCUACGUGUAGAUAGUUGAACGUACUCGAAGAAUAAGGAUCGGCUAACUCCGUGCCAGCAGCCGCGGUAA
rnacentral:rRNA from 1 species